UACGUAGGGUGCAAGCGUUUGUCCGGAAUUAUUGGGCGUAAAGAGCUCGUAGGCGGUUCGUCGCGUCGGCUGUGAAAUCCCGAGGCUCAACCUCGGGUCUGCAGUCGAUACGGGCGGACUGGAGUACUGCAGGGGAGACUGGAAUUCCUGGUGUAGCGGUGAAAUGCGCAGAUAUCAAGGAGGAACACCGGGUGGCGAAGGCGGGGUCUCUGGGCAGUUGACUGACGCUGAGGAGCGAAAGCGUGGGGAGCGAACAGG
rnacentral:rRNA from 1 species